CCGGUAAUUCUCGUGCACAAAGGCGCGGAUAGGAAAUCGGGCUGGCACAACCAUCCACUGCUGUGAAGGCAGAAGGUACUGCAGAGACUCAGAGCCUGAUGAGGAUCAAGGAAUGGAGGUAGUUUGUGGAGUCAGAGCCCUUCAGUGUGGGAAUAGAGGAGGUUUUUGACAUCCUGCCACUGUACAGUGUGCUGCAGCCGAGUGAGAGCCAGCGGGUCAUGUUCCCCCUCUUUGGCCGUGCAGAUAUUGUCGCCCACGUCAUGGCACUGUGCAGGGUGGAGGGAGGCCCAACCUACGAGAUUGCGCUGAGCGGGGAUGCUUCGCUUA